CCGCACAAGCGGUGGAGCAUGUGGUUUAAUUCGAAGCAACGCGAAGAACCUUACCAGGUCUUGACAUCCUUUGACCACUCUAGAGAUAGAGCUUCCCCUUCGGGGGCAAAGUGACAGGUGGUGCAUGGUUGUCGUCAGCUCGUGUCGUGAGAUGUUGGGUUAAGUCCCGCAACGAGCGCAACCCUUAUUGUUAGUUGCCAUCAUUCAGUUGGGCACUCUAUCAAGACUGCCGGUGACAAACCGGAGGAAGGUGGGGAUGACGUCAAAUCAUCAUGCCCCUUAUGACCUGGGCUACACACGUGCUACAAUGGGAAGUACAACGAGUUGCGAAGUCGCGAGGCUAAGCUAAUCUCUUAAAGCUUCUCUCAGUUCGGAUUGCAGGCUGCAACUCGCCUGCAUGAAGCCGGAAUCGCUAGUAAUCGCGGAUCAGCACGCCGCGGUGAUACGUUCCCGGGCCUUGU
rnacentral:rRNA from 1 species